ACGAACGCUGGCGGCGUGGAUAAGACAUGCAAGUCGAACGAGAGAAUUGCUAGCUUGCUAAUAAUUCUCUAGUGGCGCACGGGUGAGUAACACGUGAGUAACCUGCCCCCGAGAGCGGGAUAGCCCUGGGAAACUGGGAUUAAUACCGCAUAGUAUCGAAAGAUUAAAGCAGCAAUGCGCUUGGGGAUGGGCUCGCGGCCUAUUAGUUAGUUGGUGAGGUAACGGCUCACCAAGGCGAUGACGGGUAGCCGGUCUGAGAGGAUGUCCGGCCACACUGGAACUGAGACACGGUCCAGACACCUACGGGUGGCAGCAGUCGAGAAUCAUUCACAAUGGGGGAAACCCUGAUGGUGCGACGCCGCGUGGGGGAAUGAAGGUCUUCGGAUUGUAAACCCCUGUCAUGUGGGAGCAAAUUAAAAAGAUAGUACCACAAGAGGAAGAGACGGCUAACUCUGUGCCAGCAGCCGCGGUAAUACAGAGGUCUCAAGCGUUGUUCGGAAUCACUGGGCGUAAAGCGUGCGUAGGCUGUUUCGUAAGUCGUGUGUGAAAGGCGCGGGCUCAACCCGCGGACGGCACAUGAUACUGCGAGACUAGAGUAAUGGAGGGGGAACCGGAAUUCUCGGUGUAGCAGUGAAAUGCGUAGAUAUCGAGAGGAACACUCGUGGCGAAGGCGGGUUCCUGGACAUUAACUGACGCUGAGGCACGAAGGCCAGGGGAGCGAAAGGGAUUAGAUACCCCUGUAGUCCUGGCAGUAAACGGUGCACGCUUGGUGUGCGGGGAAUCGACCCCCUGCGUGCCGGAGCUAACGCGUUAAGCGUGCCGCCUGGGGAGUACGGUCGCAAGAUUAAAACUCAAAGAAAUUGACGGGGACCCGCACAAGCGGUGGAGUAUGUGGCUUAAUUCGAUGCAACGCGAAGAACCUUACCUGGGCUUGACAUGUAAUGAACAACAUGUGAAAGCAUGCGACUCUUCGGAGGCGUUACACAGGUGCUGCAUGGCCGUCGUCAGCUCGUGUCGUGAGAUGUUUGGUUAAGUCCAGCAACGAGCGCAACCCCUGUUGCCAGUUACCAGCACGUGAAGGUGGGGACUCUGGCGAGACUGCCCAGAUCAACUGGGAGGAAGGUGGGGACGACGUCAGGUCAGUAUGGCCCUUAUGCCCAGGGCUGCACACGUACUACAAUGCCCAGUACAGAGGGGGCCGAAGCCGCGAGGCGGAGGAAAUCCUGAAAACUGGGCCCAGUUCGGACUGUAGGCUGCAACCCGCCUACACGAAGCCGGAAUCGCUAGUAAUGGCGCAUCAGCUACGGCGCCGUGAAUACGUUCCCGGGUCUUGUACACACCGCCCGUCACAUCAUGGGAGCCGGUCGCACCCGAAGUAUCUGAAGCCAACCGCAAGGAGGCAGGGUCCUAAGGUGAGACUGGUAACUGGGAUG
rnacentral:rRNA from 1 species